GAUGAACGCUGGCGGCGUGCCUAAUACAUGCAAGUCGAGCGAACAGACGAGGAGCUUGCUCCUCUGACGUUAGCGGCGGACGGGUGAGUAACACGUGGAUAACCUACCUAUAAGACUGGGAUAACUUCGGGAAACCGGAGCUAAUACCGGAUAAUAUAUUGAACCGCAUGGUUCAAUAGUGAAAGACGGUUUUGCUGUCACUUAUAGAUGGAUCCGCGCCGCAUUAGCUAGUUGGUAAGGUAACGGCUUACCAAGGCAACGAUGCGUAGCCGACCUGAGAGGGUGAUCGGCCACACUGGAACUGAGACACGGUCCAGACUCCUACGGGAGGCAGCAGUAGGGAAUCUUCCGCAAAGGGCGAAAGCCUGACGGAGCAACGCCGCGUGAGUGAUGAAGGUCUUCGGAUCGUAAAACUCUGUUAUUAGGGAAGAACAAAUGUGUAAGUAACUAUGCACGUCUUGACGGUACAUAAUCAGAAAGCCACGGCUAACUACGUG
rnacentral:rRNA from 1 species